rnacentral:rRNA from 1 species
UACGAGGGGGGCAAAUGUUGUUCGGAAUCACUGGGCGUAAAGGGAGCGUAGGCGGUCUCUUAAGUUAGGUGUUUAAUCCCGGGGCCCAACCCCGGUCGUGCACUUAAAACUGGGAGUCUUGAAUAGUGGAGAGGUCAGUGGAAUUGGGGGUGUAGCGGUGGAAUGCGUAGAGAUCCCCAAGAACACCAGUUGCGAAGGCGGCUGACUGGACACAUAUUGACGCUGAGGCUCGAAAGCAUGGGGAGCAAACAGG